AGAGUUUGAUCCUGGCUCAGGACGAACGCUGGCGGCGUGCCUAACACAUGCAAGUCGAGCGAAGUGUUUAGGACUGAUCCCUUCGGGGUGACGUCUUAAACAUCUUAGCGGCGGACGGGUGAGUAACGCGUGAGAAACCUGCCUUUCACAAAGGGAUAGCCUCGGGAAACUGGGAUUAAUACCUUAUGAUACUUAUGAUCCACAUGGAUUUUAAGUUAAAGCGUAAAGCGGUGAAAGAUGGUCUCGCGUCCCAUUAGUUAGUUGGUGAGGUAACGGCUCACCAAGACAACGAUGGGUAGCCGGCCUGAGAGGGUGAUCGGCCACACUGGAACUGAGACACGGUCCAGACUCCUACGGGAGGCAGCAGUGGGGAAUAUUGCACAAUGGAGGAAACUCUGAUGCAGCGACGUCGCGUGAACGAUGAAGGCUUUCGAGUCGUAAAGUUCUGUCCUAGGGGACGAUAAUGACGGUACCCUAGGAGGAAGCCCCGGCUAACUACGUGCCAGCAGCCGCGGUAAUACGUAGGGGGCAAGCAUUGUCCGGAUUUAUUGGGCGUAAAGGGUACGCAGGCGGCCUUUUAAGUCAGAUGUGAAAUCUUACGGCCCAACCGUAAUUAGCAUUUGAAACUGGAAGGCUUGAGUUAAAGAGAGGAAAGUGGAAUUCCUAGUGUAGCGGUGAAAUGCGUAGAUAUUAGGAGGAAUACCCGUGGCGAAGGCUACUUUCUGGACUUAUACUGACGCUGAGGUACAAAAGCGUGGGAAGCAAAACAGAAUAAAUUACCCUGGUAAUUCCCCCCCGUAAACGAAGAAGUGCUAGGGUGUCGGGGGGUCAA
rnacentral:rRNA from 1 species